rnacentral:tRNA from 1 species
GACUCGUUAGCUCAGCCGGUAGAGCAUCUCACUUUUAAUGAGGGGGUCGAUGGUUCGAAUCCAUCACGGGUCACCA